rnacentral:lncRNA from 1 species
GAUUUGUCCCUGUCUGUAAUAAUUGGGCACGAUUUGGCCCAUUUAUGGCGUAGUGGAGAACGGGGCCGAAUCAGACCGGAACCAGGAAGUUGUCACGGUCGAUCGGACCUGUUGGAGUGGUUGAACCGCCGGCCGUGGCGGGCCUGGGAUCUGUGAAUGGUAAGUGCAUUUAUUACCGAAUGAACCGGCGGUCAGGUAGAGCCAUGCGCUCUGAUGGUUCAGUGAUCCGGAGAUCGUCUUGGGCCGUGUUCAUUAAA